UUCCUACGGGGGGCAGCAGUGAGGAAUAUUGGUCAAUGGGCGCGAGCCUGAACCAGCCAAGUCGCGUGAGGGAGGACGGCCCUACGGGUUGUAAACCUCUUUUGCCGGGGAGCAACGGGCGUCACGUGUGGCGCCACUGAGAGUACCCGGAGAAAAAGCAUCGGCUAACUCCGUGCCAGCAGCCGCGGUAAUACGGAGGAUGCGAGCGUUAUCCGGAUUUAUUGGGUUUAAAGGGAGCGUAGGCCGGUCUUUAAGCGUGCCGUGAAAUUUUGUGGCUCAACCAUGAGAGUGCGGCGCGAACUGGG
rnacentral:rRNA from 1 species